rnacentral:misc_RNA from 1 species
AAGUCGUAACAAGGUUUCCGUAGGUGAACCUGCGGAAGGAUCAUUACCGAGUUCGGGGUUUCCCCCAACUCCCACCCUUGUUUACCUCAACGUUGCUUCGGCGAGACGUUGGAAGCAGCCAUCGGCAAUUUGUGACCAAUGCCCCGAUGCGUGCUCGCCGGACUCCAAAUACUCUUAGACUAUGUACAGUCAGAUGAAACAAGCAAUAUAUAAAAACUUUCAACAACGGAUCUCUUGGCUCUC